ACAGAUUUAGCUCAGUGGUAUAAGCGCAUGCCUGGCAAGUACGAGGUUGUGGGUUCGAUCCCCAGUACUGUU
rnacentral:tRNA from 1 species